AUGAUUAUAUAUUUUUUUUUCGUGACGACACAUGAUUAUAUAUCAUUCCAAACUUUCAAAACGUUAUACGAAUUCCAAUAUAAAAAAGUUAUUAAAAUUUAGGACUGAACCUGCUUUAGUGUGACCUAAGCUCUUCUCUUCAACGCCGCCUUCAACUUUCGCCGGAGAUGGAUUCAGUGGAAGCGGUGGAGAAGAUCCUGAACUACAGUUUCACGAAGUACAAGACUCUUCUCAAGGACGUGAUUAAUAACCAAAGACUCGUUUUUUUUUUUCAGCUGAUGAUUGUUGAUUUGAUUGUUGUUAGGUGUUAGGGUUUAUAGCUUUAUAUAUAUAGAUGAGAGAACAACAAUAGCAUAUUCUAUUAGGAAAAGGAAUAGAAUUUUUUUUCUUUUUUUUUGUGUGUUUGAUAAAAUCAGAGUGGAAAAUUGAGAAUAAUUCACGUAACUCUUUUUAAUAGUUUUAAUAUUUUAAUAUGUUGAUAAUUGUUGGGAAUUUUUGGUUGAUUCUAUCCGAUUGUAAAAGAUUGCAAAUUGGUUACUGAGAAUAUUCCUUCUUAGUAAC
rnacentral:lncRNA from 1 species